rnacentral:rRNA from 1 species
UACGUAGGGGGCGAGCGUUGUCCGAAGUUACUGGGCGUAAAGCGCGCGUAGGCGGUUCUUUAAGUCUGAGGUGAAAGGUUCAGCGCUCAACGUGAACAGUGCCUUGGAUACUGGGGGACUUGAGUGUGGGAGAGGGUAGUGGAAUUCCUGGUGUAGCGGUGAAAUGCGUAGAUAUCAGGAGGAACACCGAUGGCGAAGGCAGCUGCCUGGCCUAACACUGACGCUGAGGUGCGAAAGCGUGGGGAGCGAACGGG